CGGGAGCGGGAGCGCUGCCUGUGCCCGGCGCUGGGCGCCUACGGCCGGGAAUGCGCCCGGGAGGGGACGGAGCUGGAGUGGAGGAACCGGAGCCUCUGCGACGAGCCGUGUCCCGGGGGGCAGCAGUACCUGGACUGUGGGGGUCCCUGCGGCCGUUCCUGCUCAGAGCCCCCCGGAGCCAGUGACUGUCCCCCCCCGGACACCCUCUGUGUCCCCGGCUGUCGCUGCCCCCCGGGGCUGCUGCUGGCCCAGGGGGGCCAGUGUGUCCCCCCUGCCGCCUGCCCGUGUCCCCGCGGCGCCCGCCUGUACCCCCCCGGCGCCCGCAUCCACCGCGGCUGCCAGGCCUGUGUGUGCGCAGGGGGGUCGUGGCGCUGCGCCCCCGCCCCGUGUCCCCCCGGCCCGCGCUGCCCCCCGGGGCUGCUG